rnacentral:rRNA from 1 species
GUGCAGCAGUCGAGAAUAGUCUACAAUGGACGAAAGUCUGAUAGUGCGACGCCGUGUGUGCGAUUAAUUCCUUCGGGAUGUAAAGCACUUUUCUAUGAGAUAAAAGCUCUUUAGGUUAAUAGCUUAUUGAGACGGAUAUUAUUAUAGGAAUAAGCUCCGGCUAACUCCGUGCCAGCAGCCGCGGUAACACGGAAGGAGCGAGCGUUGUCCGGAUUUACUAGGCGUAAAGGGCUAGUAGGCGACUAAUUAAGUUAUAUGUUAAAUCCCACGGCUCAACUGUGGUCCUGCAUGUAAUACUGGUUAGAUAGAGUACUGUAGAGGAAGGCAGAAUUCCUGGAGUAGCGGUGGAAUGCGCAGAUAUCAGGAAGAAUACCAAAAGCGGAGGCAGCCUUCUGGGCAGUUACUGACGCUGAAUAGCGAAGGUGUGGGUAGCGAACAGGAUUAGAUACCCCGGUAGU